rnacentral:lncRNA from 1 species
UAAUUCCGACUCUUUCCAUGAUGUGCUCGAGGACUAACAAAAAUGCCGCGGCGCGCGUGGGCCCUCACCACGUCCUUGUGAUGGGGAAGCACGAGGGGGCCAGUGCCUUGUCAAGUGCUGCUGCUUCCUGUGCUUAGUAGCCUCCUACAGAGAGGGCGUCCUGAAGACCUGGGGACACACAGCAGCUGACUUCCCCCCUCAAGGUUUAGGGUUUCGACAGGCUCACGAGGCAUCUACGCUUCAGAAGCUCCAGCCAGUAGUUGUGACGGUGUUGGAUCCUUGAGUUCCGUCUGUGAAAGAGACAGUCACUCUGGACAGGCUUGUGACACUGACUGGUCCAGGGACGUGGCGGGUGGCGCCUGUCCUUGCUCUGAGGGAACCCAUGGGAGAAAACGCAGAGUAGAUGUUGCUGCCAUUUUCACAACUACGGAAAUCGGUCUGUGACCAAAGGAGGCGCCCUGGAAACCACAGGAGAGGGAAAGUUAACCUUUUCUACUGAUUUUGGAGUCUAUUCAAAGCUUUCUUUUAAGAGCUGUGAAUGAAAAGUUUUUGUAAGCACUAUUCUCUUGCACACAAACACAAAAUCAAAGCCCUAUUAGACCUAAUUUAUGCAUAAAAUAGUAUUCCUAAGGAUUUUUAUUUUGGAAAAAUUAUAAGAAAGUAAUCUAAAUAUGAAACCUGAUAGCUGAAAAGAAUUGUUUAUAGUAAAUAAUUGUUUUGAUUUGAACUGAUUUUUCAGUAAAUCCGAAGUGAAUUAGGGUCAGGCUGGAAGUUGCAGUUAGGACUGGGGGUGAGAGUUAGGAUUGGGUGACAAGUUCAGGAUUAGGAUUCGGUUAGUGAGAACGGAAGUUCAGUUAGGGUUAAGGCUGGAGUUGGCUAUCGGGUUAGGGUUAGGGUUAGGGUCAGGGCCAGGUUAGGUCAGUCCGGCUGGGUGUAGAUUGGGGCCAGCGCUGGUGUUACGGUCGGGGCAGAGGUUAAGUCUGGGGUGAAUGUUGCUGCUGAAGCAGUCUGGGGCUCGCAUUAAAUCGUAAGCUCUGAGGCUGACGUGGUCGUGGGCUCUUGCCCUUGCAUUCUACCAGUGACAGCUUCAGACGGCACAUGACCCCAACAGGUGGUCAUACGUCCUCCUCCCGCAUCCCAGCGCUGGGCCGCACGCUGCCUACAGUCUGUUGGCCACAAAGCUCCCUGAAGGAGGUGUUGCUGGACCGCGUGCCCGGUCACCAGCACUGAGCAGCGCGUGCGGCUUUGGAUGCAUCUGCGGACGAGCGUGCCGAGUCCCGGCCGCCCUCCGAGCCCCAGGUCUCCUAUUCUGUCCAGCCUCGCUGACACUGGGCGGCAUCCUUGUGAAUGUGGGUGGCUUCUUUGUCUGAUGUUGGUGGCCUUGGGUAUUGUCACCUUGGCUGCCUCCUUAGAGUCUCCAGGGUCAUUUACUGAAGACAAAAGUCAAUCAUCUUACAGUAACUUGUGAGACGAUGUCAACCUCAU